rnacentral:rRNA from 1 species
GAUGAACGCUGGCGGCGUGCCUAAUACAUGCAAGUCGAGCGAACGGACGAGAAGCUUGCUUCUCUGAUGUUAGCGGCGGACGGGUGAGUAACGCGUGGAUAACCUACCUAUAAGACUGGGAUAACUUCGGGAAACCGGAGCUAAUACCGGAUAAUAUUUUGAACCGCAUGGUUCAAAAGUGAAAGACGGUCUUGCUGUCACUUAUAGAUGGAUCCGCGCUGCAUUAGCUAGUUGGUAAGGUAACGGCUUACCAAGGCAACGAUGCAUAGCCGACCUGAGAGGGUGAUCGGCCACACUGGAACUGAGACACGGUCCAGACUCCUACGGGAGGCAGCAGUAGGGAAUCUUCCGCAAUGGGCGAAAGCCUGACGGAGCAACGCCGCGUGAGUGAUGAAGGUCUUCGGAUCGUAAAACUCUGUUAUUAGGGAAGAACAUAUGUGUAAGUAACUGUGCACAUCUUGACGGUACCUAAUCAGAAAGCCACGGCUAACUACGUGCCAGCAGCCGCGGUAAUACGUAGGUGGCAAACGUUAUCCGGAAUUAUUGGGCGUAAAGCGCGCGUAGGCGGUUUUUUAAGUCUGAUGUGAAAGCCCACGGCUCAACCGUGGAGGGUCAUUGGAAACUGGAAAACUUGAGUGCAGAAGAGGAAAGUGGAAUUCCAUGUGUAGCGGUGAAAUGCGCAGAGAUAUGGAGGAACACCAGUGGCGAAGGCGACUUUCUGGUCUGUAACUGACGCUGAUGUGCGAAAGCGUGGGGAUCAAACAGGAUUAGAUACCCUGGUAGUCCACGCCGUAAACGAUGAGUGCUAAGUGUUAGGGGGUUUCCGCCCCUUAGUGCUGCAGCUAACGCAUUAAGCACUCCGCCUGGGGAGUACGACCGCAAGGUUGAAACUCAAAGGAAUUGACGGGGACCCGCACAAGCGGUGGAGCAUGUGGUUUAAUUCGAAGCAACGCGAAGAACCUUACCAAAUCUUGACAUCCUUUGACAACUCUAGAGAUAGAGCUUUCCCCUUCGGGGGACAAAGUGACAGGUGGUGCAUGGUUGUCGUCAGCUCGUGUCGUGAGAUGUUGGGUUAAGUCCCGCAACGAGCGCAACCCUUAAGCUUAGUUGCCAUCAUUAAGUUGGGCACUCUAAGUUGACUGCCGGUGACAAACCGGAGGAAGGUGGGGAUGACGUCAAAUCAUCAUGCCCCUUAUGAUUUGGGCUACACACGUGCUACAAUGGACAAUACAAAGGGCAGCGAAACCGUGAGGUCAAGCAAAUCCCAUAAAGUUGUUCUCAGUUCGGAUUGUAGUCUGCAACUCGACUACAUGAAGCUGGAAUCGCUAGUAAUCGUAGAUCAGCAUGCUACGGUGAAUACGUUCCCGGGUCU